rnacentral:rRNA from 1 species
GAUGAACGCUGGCGGCGUGCUUAACACAUGCAAGUCGAACGAUGAAGCACAGCUUGCUGGGUGGAUUAGUGGCGAACGGGUGAGUAACACGUGAGUACCCUGCCCUUAACUCUGGGAUAAGCCUGGGAAACUGGGUCUAAUACCUGAUAGGAGCGUCCACCGCAUGGUGGGUGUUGGAAAGCUUUAUCGGUUUUGGAUGGACUCGCGGCCUAUCAGCUUGUUGGUGAGGUAAUGGCUCACCAAGGCGACGACGGGUAGCCGGCCUGAGAGGGUGACCGGCCACACUGGGACUGAGACACGGCCCAGACUCCUACGGGAGGCAGCAGUGGGGAAUAUUGCAAAAUGGGCGCAAGCCUGAUGCAGCGACGCCGCGUGAGGGAUGACGGCCUUCGGGUGGUAAACCUCUUUCAGUAGGGAAGAAGCGAAAGGGACGGUACCUGCAGAAGAAGCACCGGCUAACUACGU